GAACUGAAGAGUUUGAUCAUGGCUCAGAUUGAACGCUGGCGGCAGGCCUAACACAUGCAAGUCGAGCGGAUGACGGGAGCUUGCUCCUUGAUUCAGCGGCGGACGGGUGAGUAAUGCCUAGGAAUCUGCCUGGUAGUGGGGGACAACGUUUCGAAAGGAACGCUAAUACCGCAUACGUCCUACGGGAGAAAGCAGGGGACCUUCGGGCCUUGCGCUAUCAGAUGAGCCUAGGUCGGAUUAGCUUGUUGGUGAGGUAAUGGCUCACCAAGGCGACGAUCCGUAACUGGUCUGAGAGGAUGAUCAGUCACACUGGAACUGAGACACGGUCCAGACUCCUACGGGAGGCAGCAGUGGGGAAUAUUGGACAAUGGGCGAAAGCCUGAUCCAGCCAUGCCGCGUGUGUGAAGAAGGUCUUCGGAUUGUAAAGCACUUUAAGUUGGGAGGAAGGGCAGUAAGUUAAUACCUUGCUGUUUUGACGUUACCGACAGAAUAAGCACCGGCUAACUCUGUGCCAGCAGCCGCGGUAAUACAGAGGGUGCAAGCGUUAAUCGGAAUUACUGGGCGUAAAGCGCGCGUAGGUGGUUUGUUAAGUUGGAUGUGAAAGCCCCGGGCUCAACCUGGGAACUGCAUCCAAAACUGGCAAGCUAGAGUACGGUAGAGGGUGGUGGAAUUUCCUGUGUAGCGGUGAAAUGCGUAGAUAUAGGAAGGAACACCAGUGGCGAAGGCGACCACCUGGACUGAUACUGACACUGAGGUGCGAAAGCGUGGGGAGCAACAGGAUUAGAUACCCUGGUAGUCCACGCCGUAAACGAUGUCAACUAGCCGUUGGAAUCCUUGAGAUUUUAGUGGCGCAGCUAACGCAUUAAGUUGACCGCCUGGGGAGUACGGCCGCAAGGUUAAAACUCAAAUGAAUUGACGGGGGCCCGCACAAGCGGUGGAGCAUGUGGUUUAAUUCGAAGCAACGCGAAGAACCUUACCAGGCCUUGACAUGCAGAGAACUUUCCAGAGAUGGAUUGGUGCCUUCGGGAACUCUGACACAGGUGCUGCAUGGCUGUCGUCAGCUCGUGUCGUGAGAUGUUGGGUUAAGUCCCGUAACGAGCGCAACCCUUGUCCUUAGUUACCAGCACGUUAUGGUGGGCACUCUAAGGAGACUGCCGGUGACAAACCGGAGGAAGGUGGGGAUGACGUCAAGUCAUCAUGGCCCUUACGGCCUGGGCUACACACGUGCUACAAUGGUCGGUACAGAGGGUUGCCAAGCCGCGAGGUGGAGCUAAUCUCACAAAACCGAUCGUAGUCCGGAUCGCAGUCUGCAACUCGACUGCGUGAAGUCGGAAUCGCUAGUAAUCGCGAAUCAGAAUGUCGCGGUGAAUACGUUCCCGGGCCUUGUACACACCGCCCGUCACACCAUGGGAGUGGGUUGCACCAGAAGUAGCUAGUCUAACCUUCGGGAGGACGGUUACCACGGUGUGAUUCAUGACUGGGGUGAAGUCGUAACAAGGUAGCCGUAGGGGAACCUGCGGCUGGAUCACCUCCUUAA
rnacentral:rRNA from 1 species